rnacentral:lncRNA from 1 species
CUGAGAUUCUAGAAGUAGAGUUUAGAUUUCCCUCACCAACGCUUAGAUUAUUUGCUUCAAAAGGAGCCGCUCACCUGGGGCCUUCGCCUGAGACCUGGAACCUACCUACGUGAUGCAUCCUUUGGAAAGGGAUCCAAGAAAGAGGGGAAGAAAAGUGCAUUUACCUGUCCAAGGCUGGGAAUGAAAAUGGGUGGGUCGGAGGCCAGCCAGGUUUUACUUUCCCUUCUCUUUCUUUUUCCUCUCUCUCUCUCUCUCUCUCUCUCUCUCUCUCUCUCUCUCUCUCUGUGGGCAGAGGCCAGGUUCCCUGGGGAAGGAUGGACAGAGAGACAGCUCCAGCUUGCUGCCCUGGAUGUGUGUGUGUGUGUAUGUUUGGCCAGGAGGGAGCCCCCACAAUCUCCCCUGAGAGAACCUAGGAGGCUGCAGGUGAGCCCCAGGACAGGUGAUUAGAAGGUGAGGCCCCGGCAGAGGAGACUUAAGGGUGACUUCUGGGCUGCUGGGGGAGAAGGAAAUGCCAAGCCAAGAAUUCUCCUGGAAGAAGCAGAACGGAGGUGAGCCUGGGACAGGUCACUGUAGAAAAAAAUGUUUUGAAGGAAGUCCCUGCUCCUCACUGUCUGCUGCAACGGGAGCUUGAGCCUGUGUCACUGCCCUGCCCACCCAGAACAUUCAGGCCCCAGGUUUCACCACGGCUUCACCUUGUUGCUUUCUAUUCAGGCCAUUCUCAGUGGUUGAUGCUGCUUUUCUUUGUUCUGCUUUCUUUCUCCCAGUGCAGUGAACCCUUACAUUAUGGGUUUCUGUU